rnacentral:rRNA from 1 species
AACGAACGCUGGCGGCAGGCCUAACACAUGCAAGUCGAGCGAAGCCUUCGGGCUUAGCGGCGGACGGGUGAGUAACGCGUGGGAACGUGCCCUUUGGUACGGAAUAGCCCCGGGAAACUGGGAGUAAUACCGUAUGUGGUCGAGAGACGAAAGAUUUAUCGCCAAAGGAUUGGCCCGCGUUGGAUUAGGUAGUUGGUGGGGUAAUGGCCUGCCAAGCCGACGAUCCAUAGCUGGUUUGAGAGGAUGAUCAGCCACACUGGGACUGAGACACGGCCCAGACUCCUACGGGAGGCAGCAGUGGGGAAUCUUAGACAAUGGGGGAAACCCUGAUCUAGCCAUGCCGCGUGAUCGAUGAAGGCCUUAGGGUUGUAAAGAUCUUUCAGUGGGGAAGAUAAUGACUGUACCCACAGAAGAAGCCCCGGCUAACUCCGUGCCAGCCGCCGCUGUAAUAC